ensembl:snRNA U7 U7 small nuclear RNA
AGGAAUCUUUGCUCUUUUAGUAAUUUUCAAGAAGGAUUUCAAAAAUGUGAAAUCCCCC